UGUCACACACAGACUGUAUUGCCUACCAACCGCACAGUCUGUCACGAGAACUCCCUUUGCUUUGGAUCUCUACCCUGUGGGCCUGUUGAUUUUAGAGCCACAUUCAGUUUACCUGGGGAGAGACCGACGUCCCAUUGGCCUCUGUCUGGGUCACGCCUCCUGUCUCAGCUUGACUGUUCACCAGAGAAAAAGGCCCAGAACUGGAAGGGUGUGACUGUACUGAGAGAUGGGGCUUGUGGGAGAUGACCAGAGAAUGAGCUGGAGCCCCCUGGGCACAGGUGCCUGCACACUGACCAGGUGAUAGCAAGUGACUUCGUGCUCAAAAUCCCAACCGAUGGAAAAGAUGCACCGAGUCAAGGAGGCAAGCCUGGCCCCCGCAUACACUGCUGUGGUGGACUCCGUGCGCACCUCACUGUGCCUCUGAGCCUCAAGACUUGGCGCUGUGGUGGGCAGCAGAGUAAUUAUCACCAGGCACCUUGGGGGUGGUUUCACGGGAAGGAAAUUGUCUUCGCCCUCACCAGCAGCACUUCCCACACAAGCCAGGCAGGCAGAGGGCAAGCUCUGGGGCUCCACAGAUGUGAUAGCAUUAGUGUCCUGCAGGACACUGACGAUAGAUGCAGUGAACCUGAGAAGGGCGACUGUGUGCAUUACGGGACAAUGCGAGGGCAAGCCCGCACGUGUCCUUGCUGUUGGCAAGGACAUAAUUUUAUCUAUGUCUGCUUGGCGAGAGAGACUGGAGUGCGAUCCUGAACAGAAGAUCACAUGGCUAGGACUUACCAGCAGCUCCGGCUCUGACACUUCAGUCCUUUCUGCCCUGCUUCCCGGGCCUGCUCCAGGGCUAAAUACUCUGCUCUUCGCUCUGCUUGGGAGAGAGAGGUCCCAGGCUUUUUGAGCAAGCGGCAAAACAUCUGGAUUCCACACCAGAAAGGUGACUGGGCUGCUCGGAAGGAAGGAAGCUGGCAGGAGGCACCCUCCCACACAACCCCAUCAAAGGACCAAGAAGGAUUUGCUAAGAUGUACUAAAGAAAAACCCAGAAAUGUUCUGCCUCCGAGAACCAGAGCAAAGGCAUUUCAGGGAACUUCCUGAGUGGACGGAAUGAAAAUGUAAAACCUUCAGAACUGGACAGGAAGUAAGCCAACACGUGAGAGACUGUUUUUUCACCCAUGCCUCUCCAGGUAUUUCAGGUCUAUGUCAUCCAUGUGUGUGUGUGUGUGUGUGUGUGUGUGUGUGUGUGUGUGUGUGUGUGGAGAGAGAGUAUCUUCAACUGUUUUCCCCCUUACUUUUGAGAUAGAGUCCCACUGAAUCUUGAGCUCACAAUCGACUUGCUGGCCUGGAAGCCCAGGGGAUCCUCCCUGUCUUCUCCUCCCCAGGACCUGGGUCACUGUGCCCAGCUUUCCUCGGUCAUGCUGGAGAGAAAGGUCAGGCCCUCGUGCUAUGGCAAGCACUUCAGCAGAGCCAUCUUCCCAGGCCCCAGACUCCUUGUGUCACUGGGCCCCCGAGUCAUCUCUCCCAUUCAUUCCUACAUGCUUGCACUCAACAAGUCCUAGUUAAACACACAUGAUAGCUCUUCUACUAGAAAGGGAAGCAACACCAGGCCGGUUAUGAUCCAGCGCACAACAGCAUCAAACAGCCUGCAAAUUCUUGGUAAGGAUAAGUAAAAUUGCCACACCACAGACAGUUAUGGGCCAGUUUUUUGUUGGACUUCAAACUCUUGUCUUUUUGUAACAACAACAAAAAGAUACCUUGAUGUAGAAUUUGCCAGGUGAUACGAUAAUGUGUAUGGAAUGUUUCUGAGACUCCACCAAACUGUCUUCCAGAUGGCUGUAUCCUUUCGAAUUCCCACCAGCAACUUAGGAGCGCUCUGGCUCUACCCGGUUCCCAACACCAGCUGUAUUAUCAACAUUUCUUAUAGUUUUGCUCUCUCGGUAGGUGGUGCAGCGCCUCCUGGUGAGGAGCGAGCCUGGCACUAUAACUGGGCAAUAAUGAAUCUAGCCCUCUUCCUAUUGGUAUUUACUUGCAUUUCUUGGUACUGUUCCAGCACGCCCCUUGGGGUGCCCUUAGCUGGAAUUUAAACAGAGAACUCCGUUAACAAUCGAAUGUGGGACACCAGGAGCUUCUGCAGAGUCCACGUCAUCUUUGGCCCUCAGACCAUGGGGGAGGAGAGAGACUGAGACCAACCCUGGAACUCAUCCCUUCACGAAA